GGUUCAGGAUGAACGCUAGCUACAGGCUUAACACAUGCAAGUCGAGGGGCAGCAUGAUCUUAGCUUGCUAAGAUUGAUGGCGACCGGCGCACGGGUGAGUAACGCGUAUCCAACCUUCCCCUUAGUAGGGCAUAGCCCGUAGAAAUGCGGAUUAAUACCCUAUGUUGUAUAUUGAGGACAUCUGAUUUAUACCAAAGGUUCACCGCUAAGGGAUGGGGAUGCGUCUGAUUAGGUAGUCGGCGGGGUAACGGCCCACCGAGCCUACGAUCAGUAGGGGUUCUGAGAGGAAGGUCCCCCACAUUGGAACUGAGACACGGUCCAAACUCCUACGGGAGGCAGCAGUGAGGAAUAUUGGUCAAUGGACGAGAGUCUGAACCAGCCAAGUAAGCGUGCAGGAUGACGGCCCUAUGGGUUGUAAACUGCUUUUAUACGGGGAUAAAGUGAGGGACGUGUCCCUUUUUGUAGGUACCGUAUGAAUAAGGACCGGCUAAUUCCGUGCCAGCAGCCGC
rnacentral:rRNA from 1 species